AGCUUCUGGACCCCAAGCAUCUCUGUUAGAGGAACAUGGAGCAACAUCCUGUCCUGCAAUCCAGGUAAUGGUAGCAGAGCUGGUGAAAGAACCUCUUUGACCAGACUAUGACACAGUAAAUGAUCCGUAUUUUGAUACAGACAUUUGGCUGCUCACUACCACUACCAACCAAAACCACUUUAUUCGCACAACUUGAGGACUUUAUUCCCUUAAUAUUAGGACUUUACUACAACUUCGUUUGUUGACAGUGAAUACGGAUCUGGUGGAAAUUUUAGGAUAAGUUGCUGAUCUGUACAUAGUAACUCUAGUGUGCUGAUCAUGGAAACAACAGUGUAUUAAAAAUUUCCUCUUUAUUUUCAAAGGUGUGUCAAGGCUCUCCUCAUCUUCCUUCAGGGUGAGAUUACACCCCUUCACUUGGAGUCAGGGUCAAACUCACCCUGUCAGGGUUCUUACUACUACUUGACUUUAUCCCACACUUAAAUAACAAAUGAGGAACCAAGUGCAUCUGUGUUUGUCUACAGAGAAGCAGAGGAAAGGCUCUCUUGAUGCCCUGUUCUGGCUCUUCUGCUUGUUGGUUAAACUUCGCAGCUUCACACGGGGCAAUUCCUCAUAAUGAAGCUUCACACCUAUUAGAGAGAGCUGGUCUGUAGGUGAGAGCUGGUUUACUGCAAGGCUUGUGCUGCUCAGCUGCACCAGUUUUCACAAUGUUCCCCAACUUUGACGUUAAAUCAGGUUUAAAGCGAACCCUCUGACCGCUCCAUUAAUCAUCAGUUUGUCCUUCUGUCUGACCAUUCCUGGGAGGGUCAGGCUUCUUCUAAUUCCUCUACAAGCUGCCGGGUCACACAACAUAAUAUCCCAGCAACUAAUUUCUCCUAAUCCCUUUUUUAUCAGGUCGACUGGCCUUUUUUCUCAAUCUAAUUGCCACAAAGCCCACAUGAGGGCUUUUGUGCCAAAAGAAAGUUCUUUUACGGUUUCAAUUAAACGGUAGGGCCGGCCCAGUGGAGGCGCUUCGCCCAAUGCCAGUGUCCUUCAGACAAAGAGUGUCACUGCGCAUAAUGGGUAGAAACACUUCAGUGAGAAUAGAGGGAAAGAGGAGCAAGAUGUGGGGAAAAAAGGGAAACCGACCCAGCCGUUCGCCUCACAAUUUAACUCAUUUCAGAGCCAAAGGUUUGGAGUUCUUAUUCCAAGAAAGAGCACAAAGAUUUAAAUAAGAAUCUAAACUAGCCUGAGGGAUUAAGAGCUGCAGCAGGCAGUGUGUGAGGCUCAGUUAAAGUGAGUUAUGUGAAGAAGUACAUCACAGUUUCUGAAAAGGUGAACAAAGUCAAGGAUUCCAGCUUGAUGCUCUGGCAAUGGUGUAUUUCAAGGCUCGCAUUGAUUUCCUUUGUGUUUAACUCUCAGAGAACUUAAGCAACUUUGGAAUGCGUUUUUUUUUUUUUUUCAGCAGAGUAUUUUAUUUCCUUUCCUCCAGCUGCUCACAUAAAACCAGUGAAUAUCUGUACUGUGUUUCUGUACGGAAAAGUGAGCAGGUUAUAAAACUCUUUCUGUUGACUGAGGGUUUAAUCUGUGAUUAUCAGGACGGACUUCGCCCUCGCCCUGUCUGCCUCUCAGCUGAUCCAUCCAAAAAUAUCCAUCCACAUUUACUCCUGAGCUGUUGAGAUCUCCAGAUUUUCUUCCUGGAUCUUAAAUCUCUCGGAACCUAUCUGUCCACUGCAGUUGACGCCAUUUAGAGAAUAAUACUAGUCCAUGAAAUCAUGUUCUUAUGACAUUAUUUGAGAGCAAAUGAGGAACAAUAAAUAAUAAUAAAGAUACAAAGGAUAUUCUGAAAUGUGAAUACCUUCUCUAUCUCCAAACUCAUUAUUUUCAUAUCAAAGUGAUGUCCCUCACUAUGUGUGAUUUUCUGACCUCAAACAUGCACAUACAUCCCCGUUCUCAUAAAGGUUCACACGUGUGAAUGACCUGAUGAAUACAUAGAGGUAAUGCUUAAAAAAAGUGAAGUAAAUGAGAUGGGAUUUUAUUUUUGGCCUAACAGUAAAGUGCACCCCUUAGUGCAUGUAGGAGAAAAAUCACAGGGAGGUCCUUUAAACAUCCACAGUUGAACAAUAAUUUUUACCUGUCUGGAGUAGAAAGAUCUCAAUCUUAUUUCUAAGGUUCUUUGUGCAUCCACUGCUUUAUCCACUAUUUUCGAUUUACAAUAAAAAUAUCAUUUGAAAUAUAAUAAUCAUGAAUUAUUGAGGAAAAAAAUACGGGGAUUUACUCCUGUGUGGUUGAGACAUGGGGCUCUAAUUUCGUGCCUUGCCGGCACGGCUUCAGUCAGGUUCGAUGAGGAAUUCCCAAACACACUUUGGUGAUUGGAUAGUGCUAAAUUUUAGCUGAGGCAGCAGAGCCUAACCUACAUUGCCACUAGUCCGUGUGGAUUUUAUCCAUAGGAUUGAAUAGGACUGCAGACGAGAGACCACUGGCGACUCCACGCCAGUGCAACUGAUAGAAUGCCUUCCAGUGGCAGCGUAGUUAUAGCAUUCAUGUAAAAUUUCUGUCUGCUAAGGACGUCUGAACUAAGUAUGUCACCACUAAGACGUGUGACACAGACCUGUACAACACUUGUUGUCACUUUAACGAAAGUGGGGGCGUGUUUAUUUGUGUUUUCAUAUCAUUUGAGUUCAUAGAUAUACACAAGAGUUGCCAUAUUUGGGCUGACAGCUGUGCAACUGGCAAAAUGCCAGACUUUUGUGCCGUGUACUUAUGUUCC
rnacentral:lncRNA from 1 species